rnacentral:piRNA from 1 species
UACACAACUGACUUCUUGGGCAACCUAUAU